rnacentral:snRNA from 1 species
AUGUAAAGGUCAUCUGGCUGCUAAAUCUGUCACCCCAUUGAUCACUAGAGUUGGUGUGGCUGCUCUGGCUUGCUAAGCAGGUGUCUCCUUUUCUCCUCACUGGUCCAUGUGUGUCCCUCCCGAAGUUGUGUGCUCAGCUGAAGGAAAGGACCCUCCCUGGAUAUGAAGACCAUUCUGUCACUGGUAUAUAAGUAGCUGUACUCCCCUAGCAAAGCCUCUAAUCUCUCAACAUUAACUUCAGAUGGCACCGUAACCAGGAAGCUUAACAAGGAACAUAUUUUCAUUCUUGUCCCAUCUACAGAUUUGUGAUCUCAA